rnacentral:rRNA from 1 species
GAUGAAUGCUGGCGGCGCGCCUAACACAUGCAAGUCGAGCGGUCCCUUCGGGGGCAGCGGCGGACGGGUGAGUAACGCGUGGGAACGUGCCCUUUGGUACGGAACAACUGAGGGAAACUUCAGCUAAUACCGUAUGUGCCCUUCGGGGGAAAGAUUUAUCGCCAUUGGAGCGGCCCGCGUUGGAUUAGGUAGUUGGUGAGGUAAAGGCUCACCAAGCCUACGAUCCAUAGCUGGUCUGAGAGGAUGAUCAGCCACACUGGGACUGAGACACGGCCCAGACUCCUACGGGAGGCAGCAGUAGGGAAUCUUGCGCAAUGGGCGAAAGCCUGACGCAGCCAUGCCGCGUGAAUGAUGAAGGUCUUAGGAUUGUAAAAUUCUUUCACCGGGGACAUAAUGACGGUACCCGGAGAAGAAGCCCCGGCUAACUUCGUGCCAGCAACCGCGGUAAGCUAGUCUACG